GUUGCCCAGGCUAGAGUGCAGUGGUGCGAUCUCGGCUCACUGCAACCUCCACCUCCUGGGUUUAAGCAAUUCUCUUGGCUUAGCCUCCUGAGUAGCUGGGAUUACAGGCACACGCCACCACAACCAGCUACUUUUUGUUUAGUAGAGACAGGGUUUCGCCAUGUUGGCCAGGCUAGUCUUGAAUUCCUGACCUCAAGUGAUCCAUCCGUCUUGGCCUCCAAAAGUGCUGGUAUUACAAGCGUGAGCCACCAUACCCGGCCCAUUUAUUUAUUUUAGAGACAGGGUCUCACUAUGUUGCCCAGGCUGGUCUUGAACUUCUGGGCUCAAGUGAUCCUCCUGCCUCAGCCUCCCAAAGUGCUGGGAUUACAGGCGUGAGCCACUGCACCCAGCCCAGAUAUUUAUUUUUGAAUGAUGCUAGGCUCUGAGGAUGCAAAGGUUGUUUCAGUUGUUAUUCCUGCUCUGCAGGAGUUCCCAGUCCAGGAGGAGAUAGUGGCAGGAGUGACAAACUAUGCCCCAGAAAGCCAGGAAAGGCUCCUCUGGCAAGUGACGUUGAACUAGGACUUGAAGAUCAAGUAGGAGUUCACCAGGCAGACAGGAUGAGGUUAGCUGGGAUAUUUCAACAGCAUGGACAACAGGGCAUGAGAAAAUGGGAAGGUAAUAUCUUAUCUGGAGCCUGUGGUGUGCUGCGUACGUUUCACAUAAGUUUUCUCAUCCAAUUCUCACAUCAACUCCACAAAGUAACCGUUCUUAGUCCCAUUUUCUAGCCAAAGAAACUGAGGUUACAGUGCUUGUUUAGCUAGAGGUAGAGCCAGGAUUUGGACACAGGUCUCACUUACUCUGAAGCUCAAGCUCUUUCUUUCUUCCUUUCUUCUCUUUCCCUGAUGACAGCAGGGGCAGUUCUAUGCUCCCAAGCAAGAUAAGAACAAGGUCUAAUUCCUUUUCUUCCCAUCUGAUAUUUCCUGGUAGCAAACAUUUCCGCCAUUUUAAGACCUGUGCUACCCAUUGCCAUAGAGUAGUGAAGUCCCAGCCUGUUUUGUCUCUUGCAGUAGCCACUCCUUACAGAGCCUGAAAGAGAAGGGGAGCGUCCAGCCGCCAUCUUGGGCUCUGUCUUGUCAUCCCUUGAACAAGUCUGUCUUCUCUCUCUUUUUUUUUUUGAGACAGAGUCUCGCUCUUUCGCCCAGGCCGGACUGCAGUGGCACUAUCUCGGCUCACUGCAAGCUCCGCCUCCCGGGUUCACGCCACUCUCUUGCCUCAGCCUCCCUAGUAGCUGGGACUACAGGCGCCCGCUACCGCGUCUGGCUAAUUUUUUGUAUUUUUAGUAGAGACGGGGUUUCACCCCGUUAACCAGGUUGGUCUUGAUUUCCUGACCUCGUGAUCCGCCCGCCUCGGCCUCCCAAAGUGCUGGGAUUACAGGCGUGAGCCACUGCGCCCGGCCACAAGUCUGUCUUCUCUUUAAUGCCUCAUUUGUCUUGGCACAAAGACACAUGAUUAGGCUCAGAGUGGCAUGUUUUGGCAAGGGUGAGACACAUUCAGUGGAGUGUUGGGGAAAGGAUGGGGUUAGGGUGGAGGCCUAGGGCCAGAGACAGAUGGGCCAUGCUAAGACAUACGUUAGUGACGUUUGUUAGGGAAAUGACAUGGCUAAAUGGUUCUUUAGGAAGAAGAGUCAGGCGCCUCUGGAAGGGAUGGUUUGGCCUACAGAGAGAAAACAGAGAGAAUGGGCAAGGGGUCAUCGAUGGACCGGAGAUGGGAUGGUAGGGACAGAAACUGCAGGGUCCGCAGAAGGAACUGCUCACCGAAAGCCAACAAGCUUGCCCUGUGGAAUCCCAGAAAGGCCCAGGAACUUCGGGACAUCACUGAAGGCAGAGUGAAGAGAGGAAGAGAAGACAGAGAAAUGGAGGGGAGAAAACUAUUAAAAUAAGUAAUAAGAAAACUUUCCCCAGAAGUGCAGAAUCUGAAUUUCCAGUAUAAAAGGGUCCAUUGAGCGCCAAGAACAAUGAAGGAAAAAAGGUCCCACUCAGGCCUACGUAUCAUUGUGAAAUUUCAGAACUAGAGGGAUAAAGAAAAGAUCCUAAAAGCUUCCCGAGAGAUAAAAAAGAAGAUUUUUACAAAGGAUCAGCAAUCAGAAUUGCCUCAGACUGCUCAAUAAAAACAUCAGAAGCUAGAAGAAAAUAGAAUGAGGCAUCAAAAUCCUGAGGGAAAUGAUUCCCACCUAUAAUUUCAUAUUCUGCUCAAUUAUCAAUUGAGUAUUGAAGGGAAAUAAAGACAUUUUUAGACAUGCA
rnacentral:lncRNA from 1 species